AUUGAACGCUGGCGGCAUGCUUUACACAUGCAAGUCGAACGGUAACAGGCCGCAAGGUGCUGACGAGUGGCGAACGGGUGAGUAAUGCAUCGGAACGUGCCCAGUCGUGGGGGAUAACGCAGCGAAAGCUGCGCUAAUACCGCAUACGAUCUAUGGAUGAAAGCGGGGGACCGAAAGGCCUCGCGCGAUUGGAGCGGCCGAUGUCAGAUUAGGUAGUUGGUGGGGUAAAGGCUCACCAAGCCAACGAUCUGUAGCUGGUCUGAGAGGACGACCAGCGACACUGGGACGGAGACACGGCCCAGACUCCUACGGGAGGCAGCAGUGGGGAAUUUUGGACAAUGGGCGCAAGCCUGAUCCAGCAAUGCCGCGUGCAGGAAGAAGGCCUUCGGGUUGUAAACUGCUUUUGUACGGAACGAAACGGUCCGGGUUAAUACCCUGGGCUAAUGACGGUACCGUAAGAAUAAGCACCGGCUAACUACGUGCCAGCCGCCGCCGUAACAC
rnacentral:rRNA from 1 species